GCUGGUUGCCAGGGUAACCAACCUGCAAUCACAGGGUUGGAACUCCAAGCCCCGCCCCCAGCCCUACGGAGGGGAGAGGGGCUGGAGAUCUGAGCUCGGUCGCCAGUCCCACCUUUGUAGUGAAGCCCCCACCGGAGCCCAGGAGGACAGGGCCCAGCGCUUCCCGGCUGGUGAAGAUGGAGAAGAAGGACGCGCACCAGGACGGGUCUUGGGUGCUGUGCCCCCUCCCACAUACAGUGCCCUACACAUCAGUUCCCCCCGGGGCUCUCCCUGAGUUUCACCUUUUUUCCAAUAAACAGCUCCUUCUGCUGAGGAUCCCAGCUCCCCGAUGCCCAUUCCCAUUCCUCAGACUCAUGUAUUGUUGAAGAUACUUCUCAGGUGUUACCUCCUCUGUUAGUCUAUUCCUCUUCUGAACCCGUAAAACUUUGAAUCACGCUGA